UACGGGGGGCGCAAGCGUUGUUCGGAAUCACUGGGCGUAAAGGGCGUGUAGGCGGUCGAGCAAGUGGAAUGUGAAAUGCUCCGGCUCACCCGGAGUACUGCAUCCCAAACUGCUCGGCUUGAGUAUGGGAGAGGAUGAGGGAAUUCCUGGUGUAGCGGUGAAAUGCGUAGAUAUCAGGAGGAACACCGGUGGCGAAGGCGCUCAUCUGGCCCAAUACUGACGCUGAGGCGCGAAAGCUAGGGGAGCAAACGGG
rnacentral:rRNA from 1 species